rnacentral:rRNA from 1 species
AGAGUUUGAUCCUGGCUCAGGAUGAACGCUGGCGGCGUGCCUAACACAUGCAAGUCGAACGGAGUUAUGAUGUGAGCGGGAAGUGCUUGCACUAAACAAUCUUUUCAUAACUUAGUGGCGGACGGGUGAGUAACGCGUGGGUAACCUGCCCUGUACUGGGGGACAACAGUUGGAAACGACUGCUAAUACCGCAUAAGCGCACGGGAUCGCAUGAUCCUGUGUGAAAAACUCCGGUGGUACAGGAUGGACCCGCGUCUGAUUAGCUGGUUGGUGAGGUAACGGCCCACCAAGGCAACGAUCAGUAGCCGGCCUGAGAGGGUGAACGGCCACAUUGGGACUGAGACACGGCCUAAACUCCUACGGGAGGCAGCAGUGGGGAAUAUUGCACAAUGGGGGAAACCCUGAUGCAGCGACGCCGCGUGAGUGAAGAAGUAUUUCGGUAUGUAAAGCUCUAUCAGCAGGGAAGAAAAUGACGGUACCUGACUAAGAAGCCCCGGCUAACUACGUGCCAGCAGCCGCAGUAAUACGUAGGGGGCAAGCGUUAUCCGGAUUUACUGGGUGUAAAGGGAGCGUAGACGGCAUGGCAAGUCUGAAGUGAAAUGCGGGGGCUCAACCCCUGAACUGCUUUGGAAACUGUCAGGCUGGAGUGCAGGAGAGGUAAGUGGAAUUCCUAGUGUAGCGGUGAAAUGCGUAGAUAUUAGGAGGAACACCAGUGGCGAAGGCGGCUUACUGGGCUGUAACUGACGUUGAGGCUCGAAAGCGUGGGGAGCAAACAGGAUUAGGUACCCUGGUAGUCCGCACGGUAAACGAUGGAUGCCCGCUGUUGGUCUGAAUAGGUCAGCGGCCAAGCGAAAGCAUUAAGCAUCCCACCUGGGGAGUACGCCGGCAACGGUGAAACUCAAAGGAAUUGACGGGGGCCCGCACAAGCGGAGGAACAUGUGGUUUAAUUCGAUGAUACGCGAGGAACCUUACCCGGGCUUGAAUUGCAGAGGAAGGAUUUGGAGACAAUGACGCCCUUCGGGGCCUCUGUGAAGGUGCUGCAUGGUUGUCGUCAGCUCGUGCCGUGAGGUGUCGGCUUAAGUGCCAUAACGAGCGCAACCCCUCACCUUAGUUGCCAUCAGGUUAAGCUGGGCACUCUGGGGACACUGCCACCGUAAGGUGUGAGGAAGGUGGGGAUGACGUCAAAUCAGCACGGCCCUUACGUCCGGGGCUACACACGUGUUACAAUGGCAGGUACAGAGAGACGGUUGUACGUAAGUACGAUCAAAUCCUUAAAGCCUGUCUCAGUUCGGACUGGGGUCUGCAACCCGACCCCACGAAGCUGGAUUCGCUAGUAAUCGCGCAUCAGCCAUGGCGCGGUGAAUACGUUCCCGGGCCUUGUACACACCGCCCGUCAAGCCAUGAAAGCCGGGGGCGCCUAAAGUCCGUGACCGUAAGGAGCGGCCUAGGGCGAAACUGGUAAUUGGGGCUAAGUCGUAACAAGGUA